rfam:Dipodomys ordii contig_66834, whole genome shotgun sequence.
GGGAAGGUGGCUCAGUGGUAGAGUGCUUGCCUUGCAUGCAUGAUGAGGCCCUGAGUUCGAUUCCUCAGCACUCCA